UGCAAGUCGAACGGUAACAUAACUAGCUUGCUAGUUGAUGACGAGUGGCGGACGGGGGAGUAAUGCUUGGGAAUUUGCCUUUAGGUGGGGGACAACAGUUGGAAACGACUGCUAAUACCGCAUAAUAGCUACGGCUCAAAGGGGGCUUCGGCUCUCGCCUUUAGAGAAGCCCAAGUGGGAUUAGGUAGUUGGUGAGGUAAAGGCUCACCAAGCCGACGAUCCCUAGCUGGUCUGAGAGGAUGAUCAGCCACACUGGAACUGAAACACGGUCCAGACUCCUACGGGAGGCAGCAGUGGGGAAUAUUGCACAAUGGGCGCAAGCCUGAUGCAGCCAUGCCGCGUGUGUGAAGAAGGCCUUCGGGUUGUAAAGCACUUUCAGCGACGAGGAAGAUUAAGUAGUUAAUACCUGCUUGAUUUGACGUUACUCGCAGAAGAAGCACCGGCUAACUCCGUGCCAGCAGCCGCGGUAAUACGGAGGGCGCGAGCGUUAAUCGGAAUUACUGCGCGU
rnacentral:rRNA from 1 species